rnacentral:rRNA from 1 species
CGCGUGCAGGGAGACGGCCCUAUGGGUUGUAAACUGCUUUUGCGAGGGAAAAAACGGUGCUAUUUAUAGCAUUUUGACGGUACCUCGAGAAUAAGCACCGGCUAACUCCGUGCCAGCAGCCGCGGUAAUACGGAGGGUGCRAGCGUUAUCCGGAAUCACUGGGUUUAAAGGGUGCGUAGGCGGCAUUAUAAGUCAGAGGUGAAAGCCCGUCGCUUAACGAUGGAAUUGCCUUUGAUACUGUAGUGCUUGAAUCAAGUUGAGGCUGGCGGAAUGUGGCAUGUAGCGGUGAAAUGCAUAGAUAUGCCAUAGAACACCAAUUGCGAAGGCAGCUGGCUGGACUUGAAUUGACGCUGAGGCACGAAAGCGUGGGGAGCGAACAGGAUUAGAUACCCUGGUAGUCCACGCCCUAAACGAUGUUUACUCGUUCCAGGCACUGGUUGUCUGGGACCAAGCGAAAGCGUUAAGUAAACCACCUGGGGAGUACGUCGGCAACGAUGAAACUCAAAUGAAUUGACGG